rnacentral:rRNA from 1 species
GUCGCAAGACCAAAGUGGGGGACCUUCGGGCCUCAUGCCAUCAGAUGUGCCCAGAUGGGAUUAGCUAGUAGGUGGGGUAACGGCUCACCUAGGCGACGAUCCCUAGCUGGUCUGAGAGGAUGACCAGCCACACUGGAACUGAGACACGGUCCAGACUCCUACGGGAGGCAGCAGUGGGGAAUAUUGCACAAUGGGCGCAAGCCUGAUGCAGCCAUGCCGCGUGUGUGAAGAAGGCCUUCGGGUUGUAAAGCACUUUCAGCGGGGAGGAAGGCGAUAAGGUUAAUAACCUUGUCGAUUGACGUUACCCGCAGAAGAAGCACCGGCUAACUCCGUGCCAGCAGCCGCGGUAAUACGGAGGGUGCAAGCGUUAAUCGGAAUUACUGGGCGUAAAGCGCACGCAGGCGGUCUGUCAAGUCGGAUGUGAAAUCCCCGGGCUCAACCUGGGAACUGCAUUCGAAACUGGCAGGCUAGAGUCUUGUAGAGGGGGGUAGAAUUCCAGGUGUAGCGGUGAAAUGCGUAGAGAUCUGGAGGAAUACCGGUGGCGAAGGCGGCCCCCUGGACAAAGACUGACGCUCAGGUGCGAAAGCGUGGGGAGCAAACAGGAUUAGAUACCCUGGUAGUCCACGCCGUAAACGAUGUCGAUUUGGAGGUUGUGCCCUUGAGGCGUGGCUUCCGGAGCUAACGCGUUAAAUCGACCGCCUGGGGAGUACGGCCGCAAGGUUAAAACUCAAAUGAAUUGACGGGGGCCCGCACAAGCGGUGGAGCAUGUGGUUUAAUUCGAUGCAACGCGAAGAACCUUACCUGGUCUUGACAUCCACAGAACUUAGCAGAGAUGCUUUGGUGCCUUCGGGAACUGUGAGACAGGUGCUGCAUGGCUGUCGUCAGCUCGUGUUGUGAAAUGUUGGGUUAAGUCCCGCAACGAGCGCAACCCUUAUCCUUUGUUGCCAGCGGUUAGGCCGGGAACUCAAAGGAGACUGCCAGUGAUAAACUGGAGGAAGGUGGGGAUGACGUCAAGUCAUCAUGGCCCUUACGACCAGGGCUACACACGUGCUACAAUGGCAUAUACAAAGAGAAGCGACCUCGCGAGAGCAAGCGGACCUCAUAAAGUAUGUCGUAGUCCGGAUUGGAGUCUGCAACUCGACUCCAUGAAGUCGGAAUCGCUAGUAAUCGUAGAUCAGAAUGCUACGGUGAAUACGUUCCCGGGCCUUGUACACACCGCCCGUCACACCAUGGGAGUGGGUUGCAAAAGAAGUAGGUAGCUUAACCUUCGGGAGGGCGCUUACCACUUUGUGAUUCAUGACUGGGGUGAAGUCGUAACAAGGUAACCGUAGGGGAACCUGCGGUUGGAUCACCUCCUUA